UAAUGGGUAAUGGGGGCGGAAGCCUGAUGCAGCGACGCCGCGUGAGGGAUGACGGCCUUCGGGUUGUAAACCUCUUUCAGCAGGGAAGAAGCGAAAGUGACGGUACCUGCAGAAGAAGCGCCGGCUAACUACGUGCCAGCAGCCGCGGUAAUACGUAGGGCGCAAGCGUUGUCCGGAAUUAUUGGGCGUAAAGAGCUCGUAGGCGGCUUGUCACGUCGGAUGUGAAAGCCCGGGGCUUAACCCCGGGUCUGCAUUCGAUACGGGCUAGCUAGAGUGUGGUAGGGGAGAUCGGAAUUCCUGGUGUAGCGGUGAAAUGCGCAGAUAUCAGGAGGAACACCGGUGGCGAAGGCGGAUCUCUGGGCCAUUACUGACGCUGAGGAGCGAAAGCGUGGGGAGCGAACAGGAUUAGAUACCCUGGUAGUCCACGCCGUAAACGUUGGGAACUAGGUGUUGGCGACAUUCCACGUCGUCGGUGCCGCAGCUAACGCAUUAAGUUCCCCGCCUGGGGAGUACGGCCGCAAGGCUAAAACUCAAAGGAAUUGACGGGGGCCCGCACAAGCAGCGGAGCAUGUGGCUUAAUUCGACGCAACGCGAAGAACCUUACCAAGGCUUGACAUAUACCGGAAAGCAUCAGAGAUGGUGCCCCCCUUGUGGUCGGUAUACAGGUGGUGCAUGGCUGUCGUCAGCUCGUGUCGUGAGAUGUUGGGUUAAGUCCCGCAACGAGCGCAACCCUUGUUCUGUGUUGCCAGCAUGCCCUUCGGGGUGAUGGGGACUCACAGGAGACUGCCGGGGUCAACUCGGAGGAAGGUGGGGACGACGUCAAGUCAUCAUGCCCCUUAUGUCUUGGGCUGCACACGUGCUACAAUGGCCGGUACAAUGAGCUGCGAUGCCUCGAGGCGGAGCGAAUCUCAAAAGCCGGUCUCAGUUCGGAUUGGGUCUGCAACUCGACCCCAUGAAGUCGGAGUUGCUAGUAAUCGCAGAUCAGCAUUGCUGCGUGAAUACGUUCCCGGGCCCUUGUUCACACCGCCCGUCACGUCACGAAAGUCGGUAACACCCUGAAGCCGGUGCCCAACCCCUUGUGGAGGAGCUGUCGAAGGUGGGCUUGGCGAUCUGGACGAAGUCGUAACACAAGGGAGCACGUAAGCGUCGACUUCGUUCUAGCCCUACAGUCUGUAUGCUACCAUAUAUAACU
rnacentral:rRNA from 1 species